UAUUAUGUUAUGUUGAAGGAGAAGAGUUUGCUUAGUUUCGGAAGUGACACUUGUCCGUGGGGUUGUGAGUGAGCCACGUUAUUUGUUUGUGUAGUUGUAUAUUAUUAUUUGUGUUUUAUUAAAAUAACUCCAAGCCGUUAUGCAAUGAAAGGUCGUCGUGGUCCUCACGAUAGCGAAUCUAAUUUUAAAUCCCCUGUCCUGAUAAAGGAGUCCUGCUCCUUGAUCCAGGAUGCACGAAAUGGGGAUUUUGGGAGUUUAAAAAAGAAAAUGAGGAAUUCGUUCUUUAAGAAAUUGGAGGAUGUGAACCAGAAGGAUGAACGGAACUGCAGUCCGCUUCACUAUGCCGCCAAGAACUCUCAUCUUCCCAUGAUCAAGUUUUUGAUUGGAAAAGGAGCCAAUCUUAAAGCACUGGAUAAACAUGGGUGGAGUGUUUUUCAAUAUGCAGUACGCUACGCUAGUCUUCCUACAGUCCAACUGCUUCUCGACCUUGGUGCUGAUAUUCACCAUUGUGAAAAUAAGGGAUGGAAUUGUUUACAUCUAGCUGCCAGGAACGGUCAUUCUGAAAAAGCACGGCUUCUCUUGGAGCAUGACAUACGCAUCGGAGAAACCCAGAAUCAAGGUUGGAACGCUUUACAUCUUGCUGUACGCUAUGGCCAACCUGAUACAAUUAGUACUCUGUUAGAGUAUGGUAUAGAUAUCAAUGCGGAUAAUCGAGGAUGGACUGCUCUUCACUUAGCCUCCCUUAACGGACACACAGACAUUACUUCAAUACUUCUCAACAAAAGAGCUUCAACACUCAAAUUAAACGAAGAAGGACACACGGCAUUGUAUAUUGCUCGUAAAGAGAACCACCAACGAAUAGUUGCAAUGAUCCUUGAAGCUGAGUUUCAGGGUCAAGAACCUCCAGUUCUUCCCAGUCCUCCUCCAACUCCACCAAGUGCCCCUGCAUUUGAAACACUAAGUAGUUCAGGCGGAGAUAACGAAUCUAUCACUGAAUGGAAGGAUCGUAUACGAAAACAACUUGAGUCUGUAGAAUACUUUACAGAGCUUGAUUCAGAGUCUAAACGAGAGAAUUCUUCCUCCACGUCUGAAGUUACUAAUCCUUCACCGUCUGAGGGAACACUGAGGAUUCAGUGGAAAUCUUUGAAGGAAGAAGUAUCUGAGCUUAUGCGACAACUUGACAACAUUUCAUUUCAGGAAGUGAAUCAAAUUAAAAAGUCAAUCACUAGGAAAAUCAAUGAUCAUCCGAUCCUUGUCCUCAAAUUUGAUAAACAAAAGGAAGUUUUGCAAUCCGCAGCAGUGCAAUUAGAAAAUGAAAUACCGGACAUUAUAUCAAAAUAUGAGUGUAAAAUAUAUGACACAGAUCAAAUUAUACACGCUGUUGAUUCCCUUUUGGAUAGAAAUGAGAGAGACCUUGACUUAAUUCUCCAGCUGAGAAGCAACCGUACCGAAUCCUCUAUUUCUCCAAAUAUUUUAAUCAAUAAAAAUAAAUUAAUCAAUGACCUAUUAAAGGCACAUGAAGAAGAAAUCUGCCUUCUUAAAGUUGAAAAAUGCCGUUUAAACGAAAAAAUAGAGGGCUUUAAAUCCAAAUCCCUGCGAGACGUUCAGAUUGUAAAGGAUAAAAUUGAAAUCCUCAAGGUUGAAGUGAUCAAUACAUCCAAAGGAAAGAUCAACUAUAUUAAAGAGUACGAAACAGAACUCAAACUUCUGCAAACGGAUUUAGAGAAUGCUGAGAGAAGAGCUCAUCGCAUAAGAGAGCGAACUGGACAACAACAGGAUUGGUUUGGAUGUCCUGUUUGCUUGUGUCUUUUAAAACCUCCGCUACGGAUCUUCCAAUGCCCUGAAGGGCAUAUCCUAUGUGAAGAGUGUAAAGAGAAUCCAGCCUUAGUGCAUUGUCCUCAAUGUCGAGUUCCACUUGAAGGACUAUGCUCAAGAAAUCGCGCACUUGAAGAAGUGGCUCGAUCCUACUUCAGCUAACUUACAGUUGAUUUACUUUACUAUGUUGAUCUCAUUUUUUUAAUUUAGUUACAAAUUACUUUGUUUGUUCGAUUCCCUUCUGCUGACUCUUUUUCCACCUAUGUUACUCUAUAUAUUUUGGGGUCUUAUUUAUUUGUUAUUUUAUCACCAAAGAAUUCCCUUUAUUUAGACAUUUCUUAUUAUUAUUUAACCGUUGACUCCACCAUUCUUUUCUUUUUUUAAAUUUACCGCCUUUUAUGUUACGAAAAUUUUUUUUAUAUUAUUUGAAAAUAACACAGAAAUAUUGAAGCUUUCGCUUGUAGGAACUUUUGUUAAAUUCCUUACAAUCUAUUAUUAUAAUAUUAUAUAUAUUUUUGCAUUUCCCUCUGCUCUAUAAAUAUAUUGUGCAGUUCAAAUAUAUUUACAAAAUUUAAUAUUGCUGGUUUACAUAUUAUCUAUGUCAUUUGUGUGUUUUAUUAUUGCGCCUAAGUCAGUGGCAAUAAUAAAUACAACGGAAAUUACCUUUGUUUAACCAUCAAUCAAAUUUCCACCAUAAUCCAUUUCCGUUAGACAUAACAAUGUUGAAUGUAUAAAUGAUUAUAAUAAAUAUAAAGUCGUUUAGCAGUG
rnacentral:misc_RNA from 1 species